GGUUAAGCGACUAAGCGUACACGGUGGAUGCCCUGGCAGUCAGAGGCGAUGAAGGACGUGCUAAUCUGCGAUAAGCGUCGGUAAGGUGAUAUGAACCGUUAUAACCGGCGAUUUCCGAAUGGGGAAACCCAGUGUGUUUCGACACACUAUCAUUAACUGAAUCCAUAGGUUAAUGAGGCGAACCGGGGGAACUGAAACAUCUAAGUACCCCGAGGAAAAGAAAUCAACCGAGAUUCCCCCAGUAGCGGCGAGCGAACGGGGAGGAGCCCAGAGCCUGAAUCAGUGUGUGUGUUAGUGGAAGCGUCUGGAAAGGCGCGCGAUACAGGGUGACAGCCCCGUACACAAAAAUGCACAUGCUGUGAGCUCGAUGAGUAGGGCGGGACACGUGGUAUCCUGUCUGAAUAUGGGGGGACCAUCCUCCAAGGCUAAAUACUCCUGACUGACCGAUAGUGAACCAGUACCGUGAGGGAAAGGCGAAAAGAACCCCGGCGAGGGGAGUGAAAAAGAACCUGAAACCGUGUACGUACAAGCAGUGGGAGCAUGCUUAGGCGUGUGACUGCGUACCUUUUGUAUAAUGGGUCAGCGACUUAUAUUCUGUAGCAAGGUUAACCGAAUAGGGGAGCCGAAGGGAAACCGAGUCUUAACUGGGCGUUAAGUUGCAGG
rnacentral:rRNA from 1 species